rnacentral:rRNA from 15 species
CCGUGCGCUUACAAGCGGUCGGAGCCUUCGGGUGACGGCGUGCCUUUUGCAUAAUGAGCCUACGAGUUACACCUUACUAGCAAGUUUAAGGCCUUCAGGGCUGUAGGCGAAGCGAAAGCGAGUCUGAAUAGGGCGAGAGCUAGUAGGGGUAGACGCGAAACCCGGUGAUCUAUCCAUGGGCAGGUUGAAGGUUGGAUAGUCUCCAACUGGAGGACCGAACCGGUACAUGUUGAAAAAUGUUCGGAUGACCUGUGGAUAGGGGUGAAAGGCCAAUCAAACUUAGAGAUAGCUGGUUUUCUGCGAAAUCUAUUUAAGUAGAG